UACGUGUGGGGCAAGCGUUGUUCGGAUUUACUGGGCUUAAAGGGUUCGUAGGCGGUUUUGUAAGUCAGGGGUGAAAGUCGUUGGCCCAACCAAUGAAUUGCCUUUGAUACUGCAAGACUUGAGUGUGUUAGGGGAGAGCGGAACGUGUAGUGUAGCGGUGAAAUGCGUAGAUAUUACACGGAAGGCCGGAGGCGAAGGGGGCUCUCUGGGACAUAACUGACGCUGAGGAACGAAAGCGUGGGGAGCAAACAGG
rnacentral:rRNA from 1 species